rfam:Pseudomonas brenneri strain RGCB 108 Contig003, whole genome shotgun sequence.
GGGUAACCCGGCAGGACGCCGGGUUAGCCGCGCUGGGCCAUGGAUGGCCCAUCGCGGCGGCCCC